AGUGAACGCUGGCGGUAGGCCUAACACAUGCAAGUCGAACGGCAGCACAGUAAGAGCUUGCUCUUACGGGUGGCGAGUGGCGGACGGGUGAGGAAUACAUCGGAAUCUACUUUUUCGUGGGGGAUAACGUAGGGAAACUUACGCUAAUACCGCAUACGACCUACGGGUGAAAGCAGGGGAUCUUCGCACCUUGCGCGGUUGAAUGAGCCGAUGUCGGAUUAGCUAGUUGGCGGGGUAAAGGCCCACCAAGGCGACGAUCCGUAGCUGGUCUGAGAGGAUGAUCAGCCACACUGGAACUGAGACACGGUCCAGACUCCUACGGGAGGCAGCAGCGGGGAAUAUUGGACAAUGGGCGCAAGCCUGAUCCAGCCAUACCGCGUGGGUGAAGAAGGCCUUCGGGUUGUAAAGCCCUUUUGUUGGGAAAGAAAAGCAGCAGGUUAAUACCCCGCUGUUCUGACGGUACCCAAAGAAUAAGCACCGGCUAACUUCGUG
rnacentral:rRNA from 1 species